CCUAACUAUUGUUGAUCGAUUGUUAGGUCGAUUUCGAUCGCCAUUGUACAGAUAAUGGCGUCGCGCAUUGGAAGUAUAUGCGUUUGUGAAUUUCGAUGAGUGUUGCACACCUUGGAGGUCUCGUUGACUCGCCAGUUGAAGAUACGUGUGCACAGUGUUAGUGCUUAGGUGCCUCGAGAGGAAAUUGCAGAACAUAGCCAAGGUAUAGAAUAGAUGGUAGGCGUAAUCGAGAGGGCGCAUAUGGACCAAAAAAUGAUAUUUCGUAAAUGGCAACGUUUAGGUCGAAUGGGGCAGAUUUAACAUGGGUUUAUAUGGGACUACCACAAAUUAAUUCAUUCAACUUUUAGAAAAAAAAUUAUUUUUCGAAAAUAAAAUCUGAUUCAAAUGUAGAAUUUGUUUCUUCAUACAGCUCAUUUUAUUUUAAAAGUGUUACAAUUUUUUAAUAAUUACUAAAAAUUUUAGAUAGGAAAAAGCCUAAUUAGGCGACAGCAGCACAUUUUGUGACGCUAUUGCCGCUUUAAAGGAUUUUUAAAAAAGGGGCGGUCCUUUGACAUUUAUUUUUUUAUGCUUUGAAAGCUUGUCAAAUUGCGGGACUUGUGUGGAGGUAAAAUUUGGAAGUAACAAACAAAAAAAAUUCAAGCCAGUGUCCGCCAGUGGUAUUUGUAUCAGAGAAAGUAUGCAGGGACACAGUUUACCAACUCUGUGGAUACCUGCUUUACACUCGUAGAAGACUCUUGAAGUGUAAUAUCUGUUUGGCUAGUUUACAAACAAAGAGAGAGCUACUUCCUGAUGAUUUUUACCAUCAGGGUCUUACAGACAUCAAGACUAAAGGUGGCCUUACAUAUUGCACCCCAGAGAUGUUUAAUUUUUUUUCUUGCAGUAGAGGUUAUUUACAGGGAACAGGUUAAUCGUAGUAAUCCCAAUGUACGCAGUUGGUUUGAUAUUAUAAUGAGUAAGAUAUCCGAUGGAAACCUUAAAACUAAUUUCUGUUGCAGCGAAGAACAUAAAAUUGAAUUUAUUCCUAUGCUUGUUCUUGAAUAUUUUGUAGUUCGUAACCACUUUGAAACUAAAACAUGGAAGAUGAACGAUACCAACUAUGCAAAAGCAAAGUCCUUAAAAAAAGGGCAAAGAUGGUGAAGUAGUAUUGCAAUAUCAAAAUUCCUAAGUGAAACUUUAAAAAUGUGUUGCUGAUACAAUUAUUUAUUAUUGAAAAUGCCGUUUGUGAAGUUCAUAAAAUACACAGAUUCAAAAGUUA